UACGGAGGGUGCAAGCGUUAAUCGGAAUUACUGGGCGUAAAGCGCCCGCAGGCGGUUUGUUAAGUCAGAUGUGAAAGCCCCGGGCUCAACCUGGGAACGGCAUCUGAAACUGGCAAGCUUGAGUAUAGUAGAGGGAGGUAGAAUUCCAGGUGUAGCGGUGAAAUGCGUAGAGAUCUGGAGGAAUACCAGUGGCGAAGGCGGCCCCCUGGACGGAGACUGACGCUGAGGUGCGAAAGCGUGGGGAGCAAACAGG
rnacentral:rRNA from 1 species